rnacentral:tRNA from 1 species
GUGCCUGUAGCUCAGUUGGAUUAGAGCGCGGCCCUGCGGAGGCCGAGGCCAGGCGUUCGAAUCGCCUCUGGCACACAA